rnacentral:rRNA from 1 species
AUUGCACGCUGGCGGCAGGCUUAACACCUGCAAGUCGAGCGAGCGGCGGACGGGUGAGUAAUGUCUGGGAAACUGCCUGAUGGAGGGGGAUAACUACUGGAAACUGUAGCUAAUACCGCAUACCCUCAGAUGUGCCCAGAUGGGAUUAGCUAGUAGGUGGGGUAAUGGCUCACCUAGGCGACGAUCCCUAGCUGGUAUGAGAGGAUGACCAGCAACACUGGAACUGAGACACGGGCCAGACGCAUACGGGAGGCAGCAGUGGGGAAUAUUGCACAAUGGGCGCAAGCCUGAUGCAGCCAUGCGGCGUGUGUGAAGAAGGCCUGCGGGUUGUAAAGCACUUUCAGCGAGGAGGCGUUACUCGCAGAAGAAGCACCGGCUAACUCCGUGCCAGCAGCCGCGGUAAUUC